rnacentral:SRP_RNA from 1 species
GCCUGGGUCCUGCGCAAUGGGAAUCCAUGAACCAUGUCAGGUCCGGAAGGAAGCAGCAUUAAGUGGACGCUCCCAUGUGCCGCAGGGUUGCCUGGGCCGA